rnacentral:rRNA from 1 species
AACGAACGUUGGCGGCCUGCCUAACACAUGCCACUCGAACGAGACCUUCGGGUCUAGUGGCGCACGGGUGCGUAACGCGUGGGAACCUGCCCUUAGGUUCGGACUAACUCCCCGAAAGGGGUGCUAAUACCGGACAAUGUCUUCGGACCAAAGAUUUAUCGCCUUUGGAUGGGUCCGCGUUGGAUUAGCUAGUUGGUAGGGUAAAAGCCUACCAAGGCGACGAUCCAUAGCUGGUCUGAGAGGAUGAUCAGCCACACUGGGACUGAGACACGGCCCAGACUCCUACGGGAGGCAGCAGUGGGGAAUAUUGGACAAUGGGCGAAAGCCUGAUCCAGCAAUGCCGCGUGAGUGAUGAAGGCCUUAGGGUUGUAAAGCUCUUUUACCCGGGAUGAUAAUGACAGUACCGGGAGAAUAAGCUCCGGCUAACUCCGUG